rnacentral:rRNA from 1 species
ACAGGGAUUGCCCUAGUAACGGCGAGUGAAGCGGCAACAGCUCAAAUUUGAAAUCUGGCCCUCGGGUCCGAGUUGUAAUUUGUAGAGGAUGUUUUUGGUGAGGUACCUUCCGAGUUCCCUGGAACGGGACGCCAUAGAGGGUGAGAGCCCCGUCUGGUUGGAUACCGAUCCUCUGUAAAACUCCUUCAACGAGUCGAGUAGUUUGGGAAUGCUGCUCUAAAUGGGAGGUAUAUGUCUUCUAAAGCUAAAUAUUGGCCAGAGACCGAUAGCGCACAAGUAGAGUGAUCGAAAGAUGAAAAGCACUUUGAAAAGAGAGUUAAAAAGUACGUGAAAUUGUUGAAAGGGAAGCGCUUAUGACCAGACUUGGACUUGGUUGAUCAUCCUGGGUUCUCCCUGGUGCACUCUUCCAGUUCAGGCCAGCAUCAGUUCGGGGCGGGGGAUAAAGGCUUCGGGAAUGUGGCUCCUUCGGGAGUGUUAUAACCCGUUGUGUAAUACCCUGCUUUGGACUGAGGUUCGCGCAUCUGCAAGGAUGCUGGCGUAAUGGUCAUCAGCGACCCGUCUUGAAACACGGACCAAGGAGUCGUCUUCGUAUGCGAGUGUUCGGGUGUUAAACCCCUACGCGUAAUGAAAGUGAACGCAGGUGAGAGCUUCGGCGCAUCAUCGACCGAUCCUGAUGUUCUCGGAUGGAUUUGAGUAAGAGCAUACGGGGCCGGACCCGAAAGAAGGUGAACUAUGCCUGUAUAGGGUGAAGCCAGAGGAAACUCUGGUGGAGGCUCGCAGCGGUUCUGACGUGCAAAUCGAUCGUCAAAUAUGGGCAUGGGGGCGAAAGACUAAUCGA